GACGAACGCUGGCGGCGUGCUUAACACAUGCAAGUCGAACGGAAAGGCCCCUUCGGGGGUACUCGAGUGGCGAACAGGUGAGUAACACGUGAAUAACCUGCCCUUGACUUCGGGAUAACUUCAGGAAACUGGGGCUAAUACCGGAUAGGAAUCCUUGCUGCAUGGUGGGGGUUGGAAAGCUUCGGCGGUUUUGGAUGGACUCGCGGCUUAUCAGCUUGUUGGUGGGGUAGUGGCUUACCAAGGCUUUGACGGGUAGCCGGCCUGAGAGGGCGACCGGCCACAUUGGGACUGAGAUACGGCCCAGACGCCUACGGGAGGCAGCAGUGGGGAAUAUUGCACAAUGGGCGGAAGCCUGAUGCAGCAACGCCGCGUGCGGGAUGACGGCCUUCGGGUUGUAAACCGCUUUCAGCAGGGGCGAAGCUUGUGGUGACGGUACCUGCAGAAGAAGCACCGGCUAACUACGUG
rnacentral:rRNA from 1 species